rnacentral:rRNA from 1 species
AUGAUGAGAGAAAAAUUGGAAAGGCUAAGAGCAGUCUCUUUAGGAACUGGGCCAACUCUAGCUGAACGAGACCUUCUCAAACGCAUAUCGGAGUUGCUGGCCAGAGAGGAGGCUCUCAAGAAGCAACGGUCCAGGGUUUUGUGGCUGCAGGAAGGUGAUAGGAACACUGAGUUCUUCCAUGCUAAGAUGAAAGAAAGAUCACGUACAAAUAAAAUUAAGUCAUUGCGGAAGCCAGAUGGUACGGUUGCGACCGAGCAACACGAGUUGGAAGCAAUUGCUAUGAAUUUUUACAUAGAUCUGUUUACGGCACAGCAAGAGACUCAUCCGGAGCUAGCAACAGAGUUGGUUCAGUGUAAAGUUUCAUAA